CACACACACACACACACACACACACACACACAAGCAGGCAUUUUAUUCAGCCCAUGAGAGAGUGGCUUCAACAAUACUUGUUAACCUGUCACAUUUAUGCAGUCCUGUGAAGAAUCAGACUAGAGAAAAAGAGAA